GACGAACGCUGGCGGCGUGCUUAACACAUGCAAGUCGAACGCGCCUGUCCUCUGGGCUUCUGGGGGGUGGGUGAGUGGCGAACGGGUGAGUAACACGUGAGUAACCUGCCCCCUUCUUCGGGAUAACGGUCUGAAAGGGCUGCUAAUACCGGGUAUUCACUGGUCUCCGUAUGGGGUCUGGUGGAACGGUUUUUUUCUGGUGGGGGAUGGGCUCGCGGACUAUCAGCUUGUUGGUGGGGUGAUGGCCCACCAAGGCUUUGACGGGUAGCCGGCCUGAGAGGGUGACCGGUCACAUUGGGACUGAGAUACGGCCCAGACUCGUACGGGAGGCAGCAGUGAGGAGUAUAGCACAAUGGGCGCAAACCUGAUGCAGCGACGCCGCGUAAGGGAUGGAGGCCUUCGGGUUGUGAACCUCUUUCGCCAGUGGUCAAGCCGCGACGUGGGUCGUGGUGAGGGUAGUGGGUAAAGAAGCGCCGGCUAACUACGUG
rnacentral:rRNA from 1 species